UCUUUGUUAGUGUAUCGGUUAGUACACGCGCCUGUCAUCAACGCGAAGUUCCACUUUCAACGGAAGACCGCGUGAAAGCUGGGUUCAACUCCCAGACAGAGAG